UCCGGUUUGUCACCGGCAGUAUCCCAUGAGUCCCUCGGGUUUCCCCUCGGUACCACGUGCAUGUCAAGCCGAGGUAAGGUUCUGCGCGUUGCAUCGAAUUAAACCACACGCUCCGCUGCUUGUGCGGGCCCCCGUCAAUUCCUUUGAGUUUUAGCCUUGCGGCCGUAGUCCCCAGGCGGCGGACUUAAUGCGUUAGCUGCGGCGCCGAGGGGGUCGAUACCCCCGACACCUAGUCCGCAUCGUUUACGGCGUGGACUAC
rnacentral:misc_RNA from 1 species